AACCGGAACACAGGUGCUGGCAUGGCUGUCGUCAGCUCGUGUCGUGAGAUGUUGGGUUAAGUCCCGCAACGAGCGCAACCCUUGUCAUUAGUUGCCAUCAUUUGGUUGGGCACUCUAAUGAGACUGCCGGUGACAAACCGGAGGAAGGUGGGGAUGACGUCAAGUCCUCAUGGCCCUUAUGGGUAGGGCUUCACACGUCAUACAAUGGUCGGUACAGAGGGUUGCCAACCCGCGAGGGGGAGCUAAUCCCACAAAGCCGAUCGUAGUCCGGAUCGCAGUCUGCAACUCGACUGCGUGAAGUCGGGAUCGCUAGUAAUCGUGGAUCAGCAUGUCACGGUGAAUACGUUCCCGGGUCUU
rnacentral:rRNA from 1 species